UACGAAGGGGGCUAGCGUUGUUCGGAAUUACUGGGCGUAAAGCGCGCGCAGGCGGCUAUCCAAGUCAGUGGUGAAAGCCCGGAGCUCAACUCCGGAACUGCCAUUGAAACUGUUUAGCUUGAGGAUGAGAGAGGUGAGUGGAACUCCGAGUGUAGAGGUGAAAUUCGUAGAUAUUCGGAAGAACACCAGUGGCGAAGGCGGCUCACUGGCCCGGUACUGACGCUGAGGUGCGAAAGCGUGGGGAGCAAACAGG
rnacentral:rRNA from 1 species